GACGAACGCUGGCGGCGUGCUUAACACAUGCAAGUCGAACGGAAAGGCCCUGCUUGCAGGGUGCUCGAGUGGCGAACGGGUGAGUAACACGUGGGUGAUCUGCCCCUUACUUUGGGAUAAGCCUGGGAAACUGGGUCUAAUACUGGAUAGGACCAUGCUGUAGGUGGUGUGGUGGAAAGAUUAGUUUCGGUAAGGGAUGAGCUCGCGGCCUAUCAGCUUGUUGGUGGGGUAAUGGCCUACCAAGGCGUCGACGGGUAGCCGGCCUGAGAGGGUGGACGGCCACAUUGGGACUGAGAUACGGCCCAGACUCCUACGGGAGGCAGCAGUGGGGAAUAUUGCACAAUGGGCGCAAGCCUGAUGCAGCGACGCCGCGUGGGGGAUGACGGCCUUCGGGUUGUAAACUCCUUUCAGCCAUGACGAAGCCCUUGUGGUGACGGUAGUGGUAGAAGAAGCACCGGCUGACUACGUG
rnacentral:rRNA from 1 species